UGCGCCCGAAUGAAUUACCGACGCGGCGCAAAGACGAGGGAACCUCAUGUGUCGCCUCAUCUAAAUAAACGUAUACCACAUUACAUCCUCUGUCCCCUCAUGAUUGUCAGCGAGAAGUGCUUUUUUCGGUCCAACUUGCUUUUACAUCUUCUUAUCUAUACAUAUAGAUAAUCGGUCUCAGACUGGCGGAAGAAUACGACGGCGAAUUUCUUUGAAGAUCCACCGAAAGCCAAAGACUUUAACUCCUCCCCCAAGGCGCUAGACCGCAUGAUUGCCGUAAUUUUGACUCAUUACAAUUACGCUAAUGCCCAGCUAUCAAUUAGCGGAGGCUAAAGAGGUUCGCAUUAAAUAUAAUAGAUAAUAUCGUCGUCGUUGCGAAUCGUUCGUUGGUUCGUUCGUUUGUUAUGCCUGGGGUCAGCACCGGAAUGAACGAUGAUAGUAGCGAUGAUGAUUGCCGUGAAUUAAGUUUUCUACGUUGGAAGAUAAACGGAGAGAGGGUUCAACGUUUCAAAGCACGUGCUAUAAUUCCAUUCGGGCGAAGAUCUCGCCGAGUGUAGCAACAUGUGCGGGGAUGAACUUGAUUUUCCUUGACUUGCCCGCAUCUUUUUGCGCCUUCGCAUGUGCGAUCGCGUGCAUCCUAAAAUUUUAUCUUCCAAGAUCCACAUGGGCUUCAGCGCUUACCGCGUUGUGUCAUACGUUACAAAUGAAUAAAGAAAGGAUACUUUUUUUUAUCGAGGUUUGAAUUU